rnacentral:lncRNA from 1 species
GGAAUGCAGCAUUUUAAUCAACAAUAAACUUGGAAACAUUGAUCUGAGGAGAGAGCACAAUGUAAAAUUGAGCACGCUUCUUCAGAUUAAUGGUAAAAUCAGUACUGUGCCCAAGCUGUUCAGUUUUACAAGCUAGAAGAGUUGAUUUCUUUCAUAUACUGUAUCACAGCUAUCUCUGGACAAAAAGCUGUAAUGACAUAAUUUCUGAAUACUUUAUAAAUCACAUUCAAGUUCAUGUUUGUUAUUAAUAUAAUUCAAUAAAAAAAAUUAGAAGUAAGUAGUUGUCAGGUUGGUUUUAGGAAGUUUUUCUCCAAAUCAAUGGGCUAUAGCCAUAUUCUUCAGGCUGUACAAUUUGCAUCAGUCUUGCUUGUAUUUACUGAUGUUCCAUCUCCUUUUUUUUACAGCUUCCCCCACCACUAGUCAAGAAAACACUAACAAGCUAGGAGUUCAUUUUACAGAUGAGGAAACUGAGGCAAACAAAAUUAAGCAACUUGCCCAGCAUCACACAGUUAGCAAGUGUUUGAGGCCAGAUUUGAACUCAAGAAGAUGAGAGAACCUGGCACUGAAUGAAGAACUAUGAUCAUAGCCCAGAAGGCUUUGGAGUCCAGAAGGCCUGGGACUUAGUCUCUGACACAUCCUGGUAAUAUGAUUCUAGGCAGGUUACUUAACUUCUCAAAGCCUGAGGCAACUUUCUGAGACUACAAUUCUCCCCCUCUGCGUCAGUGAAAUCACAUGCCUGUUGGAAAGAGAAAAAUAAAACUAAACCAAAGCUCA